AUUGAACGCUGGCGGCAUGCCUUACACAUGCAAGUCGAACGGUAACAGGUCUUCGGAUGCUGACGAGUGGCGAACGGGUGAGUAAUACAUCGGAACGUGCCUAGUAGUGGGGGAUAACUACUCGAAAGAGUGGCUAAUACCGCAUGAGAUCUACGGAUGAACGCAGGGGAUCGCAAGACCUUGUGCUACUAGAGCGGCCGAUGGCAGAUUAGGUAGUUGGUGGGAUAAAAGCUUACCAAGCCGACGAUCUGUAGCUGGUCUGAGAGGACGAUCAGCCACACUGGGACUGAGACACGGCCCAGACUCCUACGGGAGGCAGCAGUGGGGAAUUUUGGACAAUGGGCGCAGGCCUGAUCCAGCAAUGCCGCGUGCAGGAUGAAGGCCUUCGGGUUGUAAACUGCUUUUGUACGGAACGAAAAGCCCUGGGUUAAUACCCUGGGGUCAUGACGGUACCGUAAGAAUAAGCACCGGCUAACUACGUGCCAGCCGCCGCCGUAA
rnacentral:rRNA from 1 species